GAAUGAAAUUAGCUGUGAUUUAAUUGGGAAAUAAUAAAUUAAGGAGGCGAAGGAUGAAGUUUGAGAGCAAAAAUAGUAACGCCAGAUGUCGGUAGUUGUCCGAAGAAAGGGUUUUUCUGUCACUCGGCGCCGAUGCGUUUUACAAACUAAAAUCUGAAAAAUUGGUUUAACGCUAAAAAUCGCGUCACUGCGCGUUCGUCCGUUCUUUAUAGGAAAACAAAAGCGAUAGCUUCGGAGGUAGUGGGCGGGCGAAAUAUUUGGCAGGGUCAAUUUCUGGUCCUUCGGUCAAUUUUCUCCGGAAAUCGGAGAUGAGAAAGGUGGAAGGAAAAUUCCUUCCUUUAGCAAGUGGCGUGUGACUAGCGGCCAUUCUCGCGUCUUCUCGGUCCGUCUCGGGAUCGUUCGUCGUAACAAUGCGCGCGUGUUGUCCUUUGACGUCAUUCGACGUAGGUCACGUGCCCCGGUGCGACUUUUGCUCCCUCUGACGGGUCAGUUUGAAAAGUCGGGGUUUUUUUUACGAUGAUGAUGAUGAUAAUGAUGAUCUUCGCUUCGAAUCGGAUAUGUUAAAAUGGAUGUUGUUUACGUGACUAUUUCUACCCGGGAUGAACCGAUAUGUUGCGAAGGGAUUAAUCCUCGGAUUCCUAUUAUAAACGUGUGUUUUUAAAGAGAAAAGAUUAUUCUACCAGUUUGGAUAUUUUAAAGGAAUUUCAUUUAAUCGGAUGAUUGUCCUCAUCUCGAUUCCGCCAUCUUGACUUAUAUCCAUAGAAAAUCGGAUGUUUUAAAUAUAAAACAUCGAAAUACAGGAAGCGAUUGGGGUUUAGAUACGUCUGUAUAGGAAAUGUUGAAAGAAUACAUGAAAUUUUUGAAACCACCAAAAUUAAUAAAAAUGAACUUAUACACAGCUACAAACAAACAACAAUACAGCAUCUGCUCUUAAUGAUGAUUUAUUAAGAAAACAGUCAUUCACUAAAUCAUGCAUAUGGCAAUGUUUUAUUAAUAUCAUCUCUUCCAAUGCAGUAAUGAAUUAGAUUGUAAAAUGGAAACUACCUAUAUGCUUAAAGUCUGCAAAUGUAUUGAAGUCUGUAACACAAGAAAAACUAAAAAUGAGAAAUCUCUGUUCCAAUUUCCACAAGAUAAAAAAAGAUGAAAAUCAAUGGUAAUGGUAUCCAGGUUUGAUUUGUUUCAAA